rnacentral:rRNA from 1 species
GAUGAACGCUGGCGGCGUGCCUAACACAUGCAAGUCGAACGGACGGACGAUAAGCUUGCGGCUCUGUUGUUAGCGGAGGACGGGUGAGUAACACGUGGAUCACCUCCCUAUAAUACUGGGAUAAUUUCGGGAAACCGGAUCUAAUCCCGGAUAAUAUUUUGAACCACAUGGUUCAAAAGUGAAAUACGGUCUUGCUGUAUCUUAUCGCUGGAUCCGCGCUGCAUUAGCUGGUUGGUAAGGUAACGGCUUAUCAAGGCGACGAUGCCUGACCGAACUGAGAGGCGGAUCGGCGACCCUGGAAGUGAGACAGGGUCCAGACGCCUACGGGAGGCAGCAGAAGGGAAUCGUCGGCAAUGGGGGAAAGCCUGACGGAGCAACGCCGCGUGAGUGACGAAGGCGUUCGGAUCGUAAAACUCUGUUAUUGGGGAAGAACAGAUGUCGAAUUAGAUGUGCAGAGCUUGACGGUACCGAAUCAGAAAGCACCGGCUAACUACGUG